UACAGAGGGUGCGAGCGUUGUUCGGAAUUACUGGGCGUAAAGCGCGCGCAGGCGGCCUUUUAAGUCCAUCGGUGAAAUGCCGGGGCUCAACCCCGUUGCAGGCCGAGGAUACUGGGAGCUGGAGACACGUAGAGGCAAGCGGAAUUCCGGGUGUAGCGGUGAAAUGCGUAGAUAUCAGGAGGAACACCGGUGGUGUAAACGGACUUACUGGACACGACUGACACUGAGGCACGAAAGCGUGGGUAGCAAACAGG
rnacentral:rRNA from 1 species